CCUACGGGGGGCAGCAGUGGGGAAUAUUGGACAAUGGGGGGAACCCUGAUCCAGCCAUGCCGCGUGUGUGAAGAAGGCCCUCGGGUUGUAAAGCACUUUCAGUGAGGAAGAACGCCUGGUGGUUAAUACCCAUCAGGAAAGACAUCACUCACAGAAGAAGCACCGGCUAACUCCGUGCCAGCAGCCGCGGUAAUACGGAGGGUGCGAGCGUUAAUCGGAAUUACUGGGCGUAAAGCGCGCGUAGGUGGCUUGAUAAGCCGGUUGUGAAAGCCCCGGGCUCAACCUGGGAACGGCAUCCGGAACUGUCAAGCUAGGGUGCAGGGGAGGAAGGUAGAAUUCCCGGGGUAGCGGUGAAAGGCGUAGAGAUCGGGAGGAAUACCAGUGGCGAAGGCGGCCUUCUGGACUGACACUGACACUGAGGUGCGAAAGCGUGGGUAGCAAACAGGAUUAGAUACCCCGGUAGUC
rnacentral:rRNA from 1 species